rnacentral:rRNA from 1 species
AUUAAAGAGUUCUAUAACUCCCAAACCCAUGUGAACAUACCUAGCGUUGCCUCGGCAGGUCGCACCUACCUUGUAGCACCCUACCCUGUAGGGCCUACCCGGGAGGUGCGGGUAAGCCUGCCGGCGGCCCACCAAACUCUGUUUGAUAUUGAAUUCUGAACCUAUAACUAAAUAAGUUAAAACUUUCAACAACGGAUCUCUUGGUUCUGGCAUCGAUGAAGAACGCAGCGAAAUGCGAUAAGUAAUGUGAAUUGCAGAAUUCAGUGAAUCAUCGAAUCUUUGAACGCAUAUUGCGCCCAUUAGUAUUCUAGUGGGCAGGACCGUUCGAGCGUCAUUUCAACCCUUAAGCCUUCGUUGCUUAGUGUUGGGAGCCUACGGCAACGUAGCUCCUCAAAGUUAGUGGCGGAGUUAGUUCACACUCUAGACGUAGUAAUUUUUUAUCUCGCCUAUUAGUUGGACUAAUCCCCUGCCGUAAAACCCCCAAUUUAUCAAGGUUGACCUCGAAUCGGUUCAGACAAACUCGCUAAAUUGAAGCAUCUUAGUCAGCGAAGGAAAAGAAACCAACAGGGAUUGCCCUAGUAACGGCGAGUGAAGCGGCAACAGCUCAAAUUUGAAAUCUGG